rnacentral:rRNA from 1 species
UACGGGGGGAGCAAGCGUUGUUCGGAUUUACUGGGCGUAAAGGGCGCGUAGGCGGCCACCGCAAGUCAAUUGUGAAAUCUCCGGGCUUAACCCGGAGCGGUCAAGUGAUACUGUCGUGCUAGAGUGCGGAAGGGCUACUGGAAUUCUCGGUGUAGCGGUGAAAUGCGUAGAUAUCAGUCGGAACACCGGUGGCGAAGGCGGCUUCUUGGGCCGUUCCUGACGCUGAGUGCGCGAAAGCUGGGGGAGCGAACGGG